CCCCCAGGGUCCAACGAGAAUAAAUCAGUGGACAAUUGAGGUGCUUUGCCAACCCUGAACAAGCAGACCUUUGUUGAGAACAUUACGAAGAACAGCACUUUGAGACAACGAGGACGUGCGGCUGGCUUAGAAUCUCGGAUGUGGAAGCAAUACUACACCAAGAGGUAGACUUGCCUUCAGAUUUCAUCAGUGUAAACGGAGCAGGUCUCUAGGAGCAGCAAGAUAGCUAGAGGCGGUAGAGACAUCUCAGAGGGCUGCAGGGGCAAUGUGGGAGGGUAGGAGGAGU
rnacentral:lncRNA from 1 species